rnacentral:rRNA from 1 species
GCGGCUACACAUGCAGUCGAGCGGAUGAGGGUAGCUUGCUACCUGAUUCAGCGGCGGACGGGUGAGUAAUGCCUAGGAAUCUGCCCGAUAGUGGGGGACAACGUUUCGAAAGGAACGCUAAUACCGCAUACGUCCUACGGGAGAAAGCAGGGGACCUUCGGGCCUUGCGCUAUCGGAUGAGCCUAGGUCGGAUUAGCUAGUUGGUGGGGUAAAGGCUCACCAAGGCGACGAUCCGUAACUGGUCUGAGAGGAUGAUCAG